UGCUUUUGGAGUUGCAGAGCACCCACAAUUUCAAUGGAGCUGCCUAUAUGACUAUAGGAAUAAUAGAUCUCCAGUAAUUCAUCCUAAGUGAAUCCUUCACUCGGAUCUUGGCACCCUGCAUAUACUCAUGUGCAAGCCGACCCCUUUCAUGUAGAGGACUUGGUCCAUUCAUCAAGAAACAAAGGUGUGCUUGCUAUAGAGAUAAGUUUGAAGAUUUUAUCUUUCUCCCAAAACUCUAGGGGAAGAUUUGGUAGCUAUAUCCAUACCUUAGCCCAUCAGACCAUGUCUCGACUGGGCUUGAAGUUCAGCCACC
rnacentral:lncRNA from 1 species